rnacentral:sRNA from 1 species
UGUGUCAUAGCCAACUCCCUCUUCCUCAGAGACUCUGUAAUGCGCUAGCCCUGCCUUCAACUUCCCAGAGCAUCUCCUCCCUCUAGCUUGCUUCCCAGCGUCACUGUCAGAGGUACAACUCACAAACUCUUGAGGGAGCUAUGCUCUGGGGACCUUCAUAUGACGAAGGCUGCAGGCUGCAACCUAGACUGGGGGCCUCAGGCAGCAACAGCAGUCUCUGGGGGAGGGGCAGACCAGGUUGGGGCUCCGUAAAGGCAAGCCUGUCCUGGGAGGCCAGGCCAGGGCCUUGCUGAGUAUUCUGGGUCCUCUGUGGGCUGGAGGUGUGUUGAGUAACUAUUCUGCUCUUACCUAGACAACAGGAUAGGUCAGAGUUAGAGGAACCGAAACAGUUCAGAGCCCACCCUACCCAGGAGAUGGCCUGGAACCCUGCAGGUCUCCAGGAGUGGUGACAGCAGUGGUGGAUAAACUGGACAAGGAGGCAUUUCAGAAGCUCCAUGCAGAAGACAACCCCUAACUCCAGAUGACUGAUUCUCUCACAAAUAAAAGGACAAAGGUCAGGCUGUGCCCAAGCCAAGGAGAAAGAAUGCUAGUUGGCCAUUUACCUACAGGACUGGGGUCGUCAUCACUGGAAGAGCAGCGACCGCCACUCCAGAUGCUUGCUCUCUGUGAAUAGCAGCAGAUUGUGUCAGGGCGCUGAGCCCUGAACCUCAGCACCAAGGGGAAUGGCAGAGCAUCAACUCAGGUACGCUCCCAAAACAGGCAACGUUGUUCAGCUGAAGGCCGUACAGUUCCAGUGAUUCCAGGGGGGAUGUUUCUGUGUUUUGCACCUCUCCUGCCACCUAGGGUGGGGUCCAUGGGCAUGGUCUCUCCCUAAAGAUAAGGAUAGCAUCUAACAGAUGUGGUGUGGUCUGGGCAGCAUAGGGUAUGCAGACGGUGAGGUCAUGUGUGGAGCCUCAUGAGUGGGAAUGGUCCGCUGGCAUCCCGUGUUGAGGGAGGAGAGAUGAAACUGCUGUGUGCUCUGCCCGGAACCACCUUCCUCCCACCUGAACUGUUUGUGGUACCUGUGCACUUGCCUGCGUGGUAGCUCUUAGUGGAAGCCAUAGGCCUCACCUGCUGCUGCAAGAGGAGUGAGGCAUGGCCACACCCCAACCAAGAAAGCUGGAGCCUAGCUUUGGGCCCCUCUCAUGUUGUAAUGCUAAGGUCCACUUCCUUUAUCACCAGGAGUGCUCUCAGGACAAAGUCUGUACACAUCAUCUUCUAUGAUUUCUGGGCAUCUAUUCUAUUCUAGUGGGAGGGUAUCUCCACAGACAGUCAUCCCUCACGUGUCCCUCUAGUCCUGAUUCUGUGCCUGAGCCAGGAAUGAGGGUCAAGGGAUGCCUCACAUGUUUAGCUGCUGGUUAGCAUGGGAGGAGAGUCCAGGCUCCAGAUCCCUGGGUGGCUAGAAUGUCUUCAGGAGCCUCUGUGCUUGUCACCUGGCUUGUCCACUGUCUUAGCCUUGAACUCUUGGAUGCUUCUACACAGAGACCCUGUCUUGUGCCUGAAGCCAGAUCUGGCCAAUGACUUCUCAGAAACAGUCAAAUACUAACCCUAGAACCUGUUCUUGUCCAUGGCCUCUCCCCAUGCCUCACCUCUCUCAUAAACGUAUGGUGGCGUACAUAUCAUGAGAACUGGUCUUCCUUCCCUAUCUCAUGUGUAGACACAACCUUGCUGCUUGAAAGCUGUGAGGUGGAAACACAGCUGGGGUAGGGGAGUUAACUGACCAUGCCAUGUGGUCAGGACUAGUCCAGGGGUAGUCAGGUAAUCAUUCCUUAUUGUGCUGCUAUCAACAGAGGAGUCUUGGGGGCAAGUACAUCCUGUGUUUGCUGCAUCUGUGGUAUACAUGAUCUCCAUGGCAGGAUCUCUUAUCUACAUGGGUUUUGGGGGUCUUCUCAUUGCCACCAAUGAGAAUGUCUGCUAUGCCUGCAGACUGUCUGACCUGCUGUACCACCUGUUGGCUCAUGCCAGUCACUCCUGAAACUACACAGAGCUGACAGGUGGGUAGUAAACCCAGGAGAGAGGACCCAGGACAUCUGUGUGCAAAAAAGUGGCUUCAGGUGACUCUGCCUGCCUCAGUUAGGGUUUUAUUGCUGUGAAGAGACACCAUGACCAAAGCAACUCUUAGACACAAAACA